rnacentral:rRNA from 1 species
GACGAACGCUGGCGGCGUGCCUAAUACAUGCAAGUCGAACGCUGAAGAGAGGAGCUUGCUCUUCUUGGAUGAGUUGCGAACGGGUGAGUAACGCGUAGGUAACCUGCCUUGUAGCGGGGGAUAACUAUUGGAAACGAUAGCUAAUACCGCAUAACAAUGGAUGACACAUGUCAUUUAUUUGAAAGGGGCAAUUGCUCCACUACAAGAUGGACCUGCGUUGUAUUAGCUAGUAGGUGAGGUAAUGGCUCGCCUAGGCGACGAUACAUAGCCGACCUGAGAGGGGGAUCGGCCACACUGGGACUGGGACACGGCCCAGACUCCUACGGGAGGCAGCAGUAGGGAAUCUUCGGCAAUUGGGGCAACCCUGACCGAGCAACGCCGCGGGAGGGAAGAAGAUUUUCGGAUCGUAAAGCUCUGUUGUAAGUCAAGAACGGGUGUGAGAGUGGAAAGUUCACACUGUGACGGUAGCUUACCAGAAAGGGACGGCUAACUACGUG